rnacentral:lncRNA from 1 species
UGAUGGGAUUUACAAGUUUGUCAGUCUCUUUUUAGGGUUAUACUUUUAAGACUGCUUAUUAUGUUCUGAACUGAAUUCCAAAUUAAUCAGUCGUAAUAACUCCAUAUGAGAUAUAAACUAGGCAUAAGCCGAUACUUUCUUACCUUAGGAUUUGAGAGUGUUUGUUAUAUGUCAAGCAUUUGGAGAUCGAUUAGCUUGGAUCCUGAUCCUAUUUUAUAGGGCACCCCAAAGAAUCUAAGGGAUAUUACUUCUACCUUGCUAAAGAAUAAGAGUUGUUCGGCAUUCUUUUUAGAAAAGGAGUACCUUGGUU